CGAACGAUGAACCACAUUCGGUGGGGAUUAGUGGCGAACGGGUGAGUAACACGUGGGCAAUCUGCCCUGCACUCUGGGACAAGCCCUGGAAACGGGGUCUAAUACCGGAUACUGAUCACCGCAGGCAUCUGUGGUGUUCGAAAGCUCCGGCGGUGCAGGAUGAGCCCGCGGCCUAUCAGCUUGUUGGUGAGGUAAUGGCUCACCAAGGCGACGACGGGUAGCCGGCCUGAGAGGGCGACCGGCCACACUGGGACUGAGACACGGCCCAGACUCCUACGGGAGGCAGCAGUGGGGAAUAUUGCACAAUGGGCGAAAGCCUGAUGCAGCGACGCCGCGUGAGGGAUGACGGCCUUCGGGUUGUAAACCUCUUUCAGCAGGGAAGAAGCGAAAGUGACGGUACCUGCAGAAGAAGCGCCGGCUAACUACGUGCCAGCAGCCGCGGUAAUACGUAGGGCGCGAGCGUUGUCCGGAAUUAUUGGGCGUAAAGAGCUCGUAGGCGGCUUGUCACGUCGGUUGUGAAAGCCCGGGGCUUAACCCCGGGUCUGCAGUCGAUACGGGCAGGCUAGAGUUCGGUAGGGGAGAUCGGAAUUCCUGGUGUAGCGGUGAAAUGCGCAGAUAUCAGGAGGAACACCGGUGGCGAAGGCGGAUCUCUGGGCCGAUACUGACGCUGAGGAGCGAAAGCGUGGGGAGCGAACAGGAUUAGAUACCCUGGUAGUCCACGCCGUAAACGGUGGGCACUAGGUGUGGGCAACAUUCCACGUUGUCCGUGCCGCAGCUAACGCAUUAAGUGCCCCGCCUGGGGAGUAC
rnacentral:rRNA from 1 species